AGCUGGAGGCUAAAGCCAUUUUGCAUCCAAGGAGAUUGCCGAGAUUGCUGAGGAGGAGCCUAUAGUAAUCGUCCAGAUAGUGGGGAAUUAAGACUUGGAUUCACCUAUCACAGGUCAAAUGGACUCCAGAUAAGAAUUCUUGUCAAUCAGCAGCCUAAGCUUCCCUGCCUACUGCUUACUCCUGAGGCGGUAAGUUCUAAAUCUCCCGUCUAGAGCCCCACCCAUUGGCCUUUGAUUGGCAUUACAGCCUUCUGAGGCCCUGACGACACACUAAUUUCAGCUGAGAAGCAGUUACAGAGUAUAGUACAUCUCCCCUUAUCCUCAACAAAAGGCUGGAAUGUUAGAUCUAAAGGAAACUGGGACUCCACUGGAAGGCCCGUACCUCAUCAUCCUUACCACCCUGCUCCUGUCGAGAUAGCCACACCUGGAUACAUCACUUUCAGAUCAGGUACGUCACAGGAGAUGCUGAUCCUGCUGCAGAAAAAUGGACUGUCACCAAGGCCUGAGAAGAUCCACUAAAGACUCACACGUAGCUGUCACAUCAUGUAUUAGUUAUAGACUAAUAAUGUUUUGUCUAUG